GGGUAUGAUACCGGCUCAGAGCGAACGCUGGCGGCGUGUUUAAGACAUGCAAGUCGCACGAGAAAACCGGUUUCGAUCGGUGAGUAAAGUGGCGAACUGGUGCGUAAUACGUGGGUAACCUGCCCGUGAGGGAGGGAUAACGGCUCGAAAGGGCCGCUAAUACCUCAUAACGCCGGAUACGCGCAUGAUGUCCGGCCAAAGGUUGGGAAUCGCAAGAUCCUACCACUCAUGGAGGGGCUCACGGCCUAUCAGCUAGUUGGUGAGGUAACGGCCCACCAAGGCUUACGGGUAGGGGGCCUCAGAGGGUGGUCCCCCACACUGGGACUGAGACACUGCCCAGACUCCUACGGGAGGCAGCAGUGAAGAAUCAUUCGCAAUGGGCGAAAGCCUGACGAUGCAACGCCGCGUGGAGGAUGAAGGCCUUCGGGUUGUAAACUCCUGUUACGCUGUACGAAUUUCCUCGGGGCAAACAGUCUCGGGGAAUGACACAAAAGCGAGAGAAAGCCACGGCUAACUUCGUGCCAGCAGCCGCGGUAAGACGAAGGUGGCAAGCGUUGCUCGGAAUCACUGGGCGUAAAGAGUUCGUAGGCGGCCUCGUAAGUCAGGUGUGAAAGCCCUCGGCUCAACCGGGGAACUGCGCCUGAUACUGCGGGGCUUGAGGACAGGAGGGGAGAGUGGAAUUCCUGGUGUAGCGGUGAAAUGCGUAGAUAUCAGGAGGAACGCCGGUGGCGUAAGCGACUCUCUGGCCUGUCCCUGACGCUGAGGAACGAAAGCUAGGGGAGCAAACGGGAUUAGAUACCCCGGUAGUCCUAGCCGUAAACGAUGAGCACUACGUAGGGGAAGGUCCGAUCCUUUCCCUGCCGAAACUAACGCAUUAAGUGCUCCGCCUGGGGAGUACGGUCGCAAGGCUGAAACUCAAAGUAAUUGACGGGGGCUCGCACAAGCGGUGGAGCAUGUGCUUCAAUUCGAUUCGACGCGAAGAACCUUACCCGGGCUUGACAUGCUGGGAUCAACCCGAUGAAAGUCGGGCCGCAGCCGCAAGGCCGGAACCAGCACAGGUGCUGCAUGGCCGUCGUCAGCUCGUGUCGUGAGAUGUUGGGUUAAGUCCCGUAACGAGCGAAACCCUUGUCCUUAGUUGCCAGCGCGUUAUGGCGGGCACUCUAGGGAGACUGCCGGUGACAAACCGGAGGAAGACGGGGACGACGUCAGGUCAUCAUGGCCCUUAUGUCCGGGGCUAGACACGUGCUACAAUGGGUGGUACAAAGGGAAGCAAGACCGCGAGGUGGAGCCAAUCCCCAAAACCACCCCCAGUUCAGAUCGGGGGCUGCAACCCGUCCCCGUGAAGACGGAAUCGCUAGUAAUCGCGGAUCAGCUACGCCGCGGUGAAUAUGUUCCCGAGCCUUGUACACACCGCCCGUCAAGCCACCUGAGUUGGGGGCACCCGAUGUCGUGUACCGAACCCGCAAGGGACGGAAGCGCCGAAGGUGAAACCAGCGAGGGGGACUAAGUCGAAACAAGGUA
rnacentral:rRNA from 1 species